GGGAGGCGGCAGCUACACAUGCAGUCGAGCGGUAACAGAUCCAGCUUGCUGGAUGCUGACGAGCGGCGGACGGGUGAGUAAUGCAUAGGAAUCUGCCCGAUAGUGGGGGAUAACCUGGGGAAACCCAGGCUAAUACCGCAUACGUCCUACGGGAGAAAGGGGGCUUCGGCUCCCGCUAUCGGAUGAGCCUAUGUCGGAUUAGCUAGUUGGUGAGGUAACGGCUCACCAAGGCCACGAUCCGUAGCUGGUCUGAGAGGAUGAUCAGCCACAUCGGGACUGAGACACGGCCCGAACUCCUACGGGAGGCAGCAGUGGGGAAUAUUGGACAAUGGGGGGAACCCUGAUCCAGCCAUGCCGCGUGUGUGAAGAAGGCCCUCGGGUUGUAAAGCACUUUCAGCGAGGAAGAACGCCUAGCGGUUAAUACCCGCUAGGAAAGACAUCACUCGCAGAAGAAGCACCGGCUAACUCCGUGCCAGCAGCCGCGGUAAUACGGAGGGUGCAAGCGUUAAUCGGAAUUACUGGGCGUAAAGCGCGCGUAGGUGGCUUGAUAAGCCGGUUGUGAAAGCCCCGGGCUCAACCUGGGAACGGCAUCCGGAACUGUCAAGCUAGAGUGCAGGAGAGGAAGGUAGAAUUCCCGGUGUAGCGGUGAAAUGCGUAGAGAUCGGGAGGAAUACCAGUGGCGAAGGCGGCCUUCUGGACUGACACUGACACUGAGGUGCGAAAGCGUGGGUAGCAAACAGGAUUAGUCCCCU
rnacentral:rRNA from 1 species